AGAAUCAACGCUGGCGGCGUGCCUCAGACAUGCAAGUCGAACGAUUAAAGCUCCCUUCGGGGAGUGCAUAAAGUGGCGCACGGGUGAGUAACACGUAAGUAAUCUACCCUCGGGUGGGGAAUAACAUCGGGAAACCGAUGCUAAUACCGCAUAAUGCAGCGGCACCGCAAGGUGACAGUUGUUAAAGAUUUAUUGCCUGGGGAGGAGCUUGCGGCAGAUUAGCUUGUUGGUAAGGUAACGGCUUACCAAGGCUACGAUCUGUAUCCGGUCUAAGAGGACGGUCGGACACACUGACACUGAAUAACGGGUCAGACUCCUACGGGAGGCAGCAGUCGGGAAUUUUGGGCAAUGGGGGAAACCCUGACCCAGCAACGCCGCGUGAAGGAUGAAGUAUUCGGUAUGUAAACUUCGAAAGAAUAGGAAGAAUUAAUGACGUACUAUUUAUAAGUCGGCUAACGUACGUGCCAGCAGCCGAC
rnacentral:rRNA from 1 species